GAAACAGUCUGGAUAAGUAAAAGAUCUAAUCAUCACAAACAAAACAAUCCAGUGCUGUGUUUUUAUUCAUGCACAAGAGUUUAGGACUCUUCCUGGAAGCACUAGAGAGCACUUUGGAUUCCAUGCUUUGAUAGCAACAUCAACUAAUUUCAACCUUGCAGACCAAUAAUGCCGCAGGCUACUCUAGCACCAGCAUUUCCGGUAGAUAAGCUGAGUUCGUGUCCACCCUUGCCAAGAUCAUCAGGGUCACCAUGAACCACAACAGCCCUUCCGAUAAUGGAGUCGUGUCCACAGAGAGGAAUCUGACUAUCAGUAAUGGUGAAGCUAGCUUUGCCAUCUUCACCAGCGGUAAUGUUCCCUAAAUCACCAGCGUGGCGAUUCGCAUCCUCAGGAGCACCAUGCUGUUUUCCAGCAGGGUUGAAAUGUGGCCCAGUCGACAUGCAACCAUUGGUUGUGUCACCUAAGGCGUGAACAUGGAAUCCAUG
rnacentral:misc_RNA from 1 species